UACGUAGGUGGCAAGCGUUGUCCGGAUUUACUGGGCGUAAAGAGCGCGCAGGCGGUCGUUCAAGUCGCGUGUGAAAGCCCCCGGCUCAACUGGGGAGGGUCACGCGAUACUGAUCGACUCGAAGGCAGGAGAGGGAAGUGGAAUUCCCGGUGUAGUGGUGAAAUGCGUAGAUAUCGGGAGGAACACCAGUGGCGAAGGCGACUUCCUGGCCUGUUCUUGACGCUGAGGUGCGAAAGCUAGGGGAGCGAACGGG
rnacentral:rRNA from 1 species